UACAGAGGUCUCAAGCGUUGUUCGGAUUCAUUGGGCGUAAAGGGCGCGUAGGCGGCGGGGUAAGUCGGGUGUGAAAUCUCAGAGCUCAACUCUGAAACUGCACUCGAUACUGCUCUGCUUGAGGACUGGAGAGGAGACUGGAAUUCACGGUGUAGCAGUGAAAUGCGUAGAUAUCGUGAGGAAGACCAGUGGCGAAGGCGGGUCUCUGGACAGUUCCUGACGCUGAGGUGCGAAAGCGUGGGGAGCAAACAGG
rnacentral:rRNA from 1 species